rnacentral:rRNA from 2 species
UGGGGAAUAUUGCACAAUGGGGGAAACCCUGAUGCAGCAACGCCGCGUGAAGGAUGAAGGUUUUCGGAUUGUAAACUUCUUUAGUCAGGGACGAAUAAAUGACGGUACCUGAAGAAUAAGCCACGGCUAACUACGUGCCAGCAGCCGCGGUAAUACGUAGGUGGCGAGCGUUGUCCGGAAUUACUGGGUGUAAAGGGCGUGUAGGCGGGAAUGUAAGUCAGAUGUGAAAUCCCAGGGCUUAACCCUGGAGCUGCAUCUGAAACUAUGUUUCUUGAGUGUCGGAGAGGAAAGCGGAAUUCCUAGUGUAGCGGUGAAAUGCGUAGAUAUUAGGAGGAACACCAGUGGCGAAGGCGGCUUUCUGGACGAUAACUGACGCUGAGGCGCGAAAGCGUGGGGAGCAAACA